rnacentral:rRNA from 1 species
CCAGACUCCUACGGGAGGCAGCAGUGGGGGAUAUUGCACAAUGGGGGAAACCCUGAUGCAGCGACGCCGCGUGUGGGAAGACGGUCCUCUGGAUUGUAAACCACUGUCCCCAGGGACGAAGAUGACGGUACCUGGGGAGGAAGCUCCGGCUAACUACGUGCCAGCAGCCGCGGUAAUACGUAGGGGGCAAGCGUUAUCCGGAUUUACUGGGUGUAAAGGGAGCGUAGACGGCAGUGCAAGUCUGAAGUGAAAGGCGGGGGCCCAACCCCCGGACUGCUUUGGAAACUGUGCUGCUGGAGUGCAGGAGAGGCAAGUGGAAUUCCUAGUGUAGCGGUGAAAUGCGUAGAUAUCAGGAGGAACACCGGCGGCGAAGGCGGCCUGCUGGACCGUGACUGACGUUGAGGCUCGAGAGCGUGGGGAGCAAACAGGAUUAGAUACCCUCGUAACG